GAUGAACGCUGGCGGCGUGCCUAAUACAUGCAAGUCGAGCGAACAGACGAUGAGCUUGCUCCUCUGACGUUAGCGGCGGACGGGUGAGUAACACGUGGAUAACCUACCUAUAAGACUGGGAUAACUUCGGGAAACCGGAGCUAAUACCGUAUAAUAUAUUAAACCUCAUGGUUCAAUAGUGAAAGACGGUUUUGCUGUCACUUAUAGAUGGAUCCGCGCCGCAUUAGCUAGUUGGUAAGGUAACGGCUUACCAAGGCGACGAUGCGUAGCCGACCUGAGAGGGUGAUCGGCCACACUGGAACUGAGACACGGUCCAGACUCCUACGGGAGGCAGCAGUAGGGAAUCUUCCGAAAUGGGCGAAAGCCUGACGGAGCAACGCCGCGUGAGUGAUGAAGGUCUUCGGAUCGUAAAACUCUGUUAUUAGGGAAGAACAAAUGUGUAAGUAACUAUGCACGUCUUGACGGUACCUAAUCAGAAAGCCACGGCUAACUACGUG
rnacentral:rRNA from 1 species